GGUUAAGUUAACAAGGGCGCAUGGUGAAUGCCUUGGCACUAGGAGCCGAUGAAGGACGGGACUAACACCGAUAUGCUUCGGGGAGCUGUACGUAAGCUAUGAUCCGGAGAUUUCCGAAUGGGGCAACCCAGCAGUUUUAAUCAACUGUUACCACUAGAUGAAUUCAUAGUCUAGUUGGAGGUAAACGCUGUGAACUGAAACAUCUCAUUAGCAGCAGGAAUAUAAAGAAAUUUCGAUUCCCUAAGUAGCGGCGAGCGAACGGGGAACAGCCCAAACCAAAGUGCUUGCACUUUGGGGUUGUAGGACUGAACAUUUGAGUUACCAAAGAACUUGAUAGUCGAAGGAUUUGGGAAAAUCCGCCAUAGAUGGUGAUAGCCCAGUAGAUUAAAUCAAAUUCUCUCAGUUCAGGAUCCUGAGUACGGCGGAACACGUGAAAUUCCGUCGGAAUCCGGGAGGACCAUCUCCCAAGGCUAAAUACUACCUAGUGACCGAUAGUGAACCAGUACCGUGAGGGAAAGGUGAAAAGCACCCCGGGAGGGGAGUGAAAUAGUUCCUGAAACCAUGUGCCUACAAUAAGUCAGAGCGCGUUAAUGCGUGAUGGCGUGCCUUUUGUAGAAUGAACCGGCGAGUUAUGAUCCCGUGCAAGGUUAAGACUAAAAAGUCGGAGCCGUAGCGAAAGCGAGUCUGAAAUGGGCGAUUUGAGUACGAGGUUAUAGACCCGAAACCAGGUGACCUAUCCAUGUCCAGGUUGAAGGUGCGGUAAAACGCACUGGAGGACCGAACCCGUGUAAGUUGAAAAUUGCUGGGAUGAGGUGUGGAUAGCGGUGAAAUUCCAAACGAACUUGGAGAUAGCUGGUUCUCUCCGAAAUAGCUUUAGGGCUAGCCUCGGAUUAAGGAUCAUGGAGGUAGAGCACUAUUUGGACUAGGGGCCCGUCUUGGGUUACUGAAUUCAGAUAAACUCCGAAUGCCAUUGAUUCAUGUCCGGGAGUCAGACGAUGAGUGAUAAGAUCCACCGUCGAAAGGGGAACAGCCCAGACCAUCAGUUAAGGUCCCUAAAUGUAUGCUAAGUGGAAAAGGAUGUGGAGUUGCAUAGACAACUAGGAUGUUGGCUCAGAAGCAGCCACCAUUUAAAGAGUGCGUAAUAGCUCACUAGUCGAGUGAUCCUGCGCCGAAAAUGUACCGGGGCUAAGCAUACUACCGAAACCAUGGAUGCGACCAUUAGGUCGUGUGAUAGGAGAGCGUUCUAAGGGCGGUGAAGCAAGAUCGUGAGGACUUGUGGAGCGCUUAGAAGUGAGAAUGCCGGUAUGAGUAGCGAAAGAUAGGUGAGAAUCCUAUCCACCGAAUGACUAAGGUUUCCUGGGGAAGGCUCGUCCUCCCAGGGUUAGUCGGGACCUAAGUCGAGGCCGAGAGGCGUAGACGAUGGAUAACAGGUUGAGAUUCCUGUACUAGUUAAGUGCGUUUGAGCAAUGGAGGGACGCAGGAGGCUAAGAUGUGCAUUCUGUUGGAUUAGAAUGUCCAAGCAGUAAGUUUUGUGGAGAGUCAAAUGCUUUUCACUUUAAGGACAAGCUGUGAUGGGGAGCGAAAUUUAGUAGCGAAGCGUCUGAUGUCACACUGCCGAGAAAAGCUUCUAGUGAGUACUUAACUACCCGUACCGCAAACCGACACAGGUAGUCGAGGAGAGAAUCCUAAGGUGAGCGAGUGAACUCUCGUUAAGGAACUCGGCAAAAUGACCCCGUAACUUCGGGAGAAGGGGUGCUGAUCGCAAGAUCAGCCGCAGUGAAUAGGCCCAGGCGACUGUUUAUCAAAAACACAGGUCUCUGCAAAAUCGUAAGAUGACGUAUAGGGGCUGACGCCUGCCCGGUGCUGGAAGGUUAAAAGGAUGGGUUAGCUUCGGCGAAGCUCAGAAUUGAAGCCCCAGUAAACGGCGGCCGUAACUAUAACGGUCCUAAGGUAGCGAAAUUCCUUGUCGGGUAAGUUCCGACCCGCACGAAAGGCGUAACGAUCUGGGCACUGUCUCAACGAGAGACUCGGUGAAAUUAUAUUGUCCGUGAAGAUGCGGACUACCCGCGACAGGACGGAAAGACCCCAUGGAGCUUUACUGUAGCUUGAUAUUGAGUGUUUGUACAGCUUGUACAGGAUAGGUAGGAGCCAUAGAAACCGGAACGCUAGUUUCGGUGGAGGCGUUGGUGGGAUACUACCCUCGCUGUAUGACCACUCUAACCCGCACCACUAAUCGUGGUGGGAGACAGUGUCAGGUGGGCAGUUUGACUGGGGCGGUCGCCUCCUAAAAAGUAACGGAGGCGCCCAAAGGUUCCCUCAGAAUGGUUGGAAAUCAUUCGCAGAGUGUAAAGGCACAAGGGAGCUUGACUGCGAGACAGACAGGUCGAGCAGGGACGAAAGUCGGGCUUAGUGAUCCGGUGGUACCGUAUGGAAGGGCCAUCGCUCAACGGAUAAAAGCUACCCUGGGGAUAACAGGCUUAUCUCCCCCAAGAGUCCACAUCGACGGGGAGGUUUGGCACCUCGAUGUCGGCUCAUCGCAUCCUGGGGCUGUAGUCGGUCCCAAGGGUUGGGCUGUUCGCCCAUUAAAGCGGUACGCGAGCUGGGUUCAGAACGUCGUGAGACAGUUCGGUCCCUAUCCGUCGCGGGCGUAGGAAAUUUGAGAGGACCUGUCCUUAGUACGAGAGGACCGGGAUGGACAUACCUCUGGUGUACCAGUUGUGCCGCCAGGCGCAUCGCUGGGUAGCUACGUAUGGAUGUGAUAAACGCUGAAAGCAUCUAAGUGUGAAACACACCUCGAGAUGAGAUUUCCCAUUCCUUUAUGGAAGUAAGACCCCUGAAAGAUGAUCAGGUAGAUAGGUUAGAAGUGGCAGUGCGGCGACGCAUGAAGCGGACUAAUACUAAUCGGUCGAGGACUUAACCAA
rnacentral:rRNA from 1 species